GCCAUUAGAGUUUGAUCAUGGCUCAGGAUGAACGCUAGCUACAGGCUUAACACAUGCAAGUCGAGGGGCAUCAGGAAGAAAGCUUGCUUUCUUUGCUGGCGACCGGCGCACGGGUGAGUAACACGUAUCCAACCUGCCCUUUACUCGGGGAUAGCCUUUCGAAAGAAAGAUUAAUACCCGAUAGCAUAAUGAUUCCGCAUGGUUUCAUUAUUAAAGGAUUCCGGUAAAGGAUGGGGAUGCGUUCCAUUAGGUUGUUGGUGGGGUAACGGCCCACCAAGCCUUCGAUGGAUAGGGGUUCUGAGAGGAAGGUCCCCCACAUUGGAACUGAGACACGGUCCAAACUCCUACGGGAGGCAGCAGUGAGGAAUAUUGGUCAAUGGGCGCUAGCCUGAACCAGCCAAGUAGCGUGAAGGAUGAAGGCUCUAUGGGUCGUAAACUUCUUUUAUAUAAGAAUAAAGUGCAGUAUGUAUACUGUUUUGUAUGUAUUAUAUGAAUAAGGAUCGGCUAACUCCGUGCCAGCAGCCGCGGUAAUACGGAGGAUCCGAGCGUUAUCCGGAUUUAUUGGGUUUAAAGGGAGCGUAGGUGGACUGGUAAGUCAGUUGUGAAAGUUUGCGGCUCAACCGUAAAAUUGCAGUUGAUACUGUCAGUCUUGAGUACAGUAGAGGUGGGCGGAAUUCGUGGUGUAGCGGUGAAAUGCUUAGAUAUCACGAAGAACUCCGAUUGCGAAGGCAGCUCACUGGACUGCAACUGACACUGAUGCUCGAAAGUGUGGGUAUCAAACAGGAUUAGAUACCCUGGUAGUCCACACAGUAAACGAUGAAUACUCGCUGUUUGCGAUAUACAGUAAGCGGCC
rnacentral:rRNA from 1 species